UGCACCCACUUGUGCUUAUUUCUGAAUAUGCUUCUGGGUCUGCUUUGUUUUUCUUUCUUGUAUUAUCACUCUUUUUUAAUAGUAUGAAAUGAAAUAUAUUAUACGUUAGGAAAUGUUACAGAAAUAAGUAUUUGAAUGUUGUUGAUAUUUAAGUGCUUCACUAGUAAUGGUGUUAGCUUCAGCGUGAUUUGGUGUUGUGCUUAAUUGUGUCUUUGUUCAUGCUGAUAGUGAAUCUGACUUGGAAAAUAUUGUAGCAGCUGCAAGAAUUUCUGGCAAAAGGUUAAUGUUUUACUUCAGAUCAUGAUCAACCCAGACGUGGAUCCUCAGCCCCAUCCUUAUGUUGCCACUGGAACAAGAACUCCAAAUUUGGUAUUAGAAAUGAGAAGCUGCAAUGGUUCUUGGAUGCUGUAAAGGCACAUUCCUAACGAGCUGAAGCUUGUGGGAGCUCAUUGCCAUCUUGGGUCCACCAUCACCAAUGUAUUUUAACAAUCAUAUCCUUUCAUUUCUUUCAUGUAAUUACAGUUUAUAGCCAUGGUAUGAUAGUUAUUACAUUCUUUCAGUGUAUGAUGGCUAUUACUUAUCACUGUUCACAUGACUAACUCAAGAUUUGAUUU